GGAGGCGCCCAAAGGUUCCCUCAGAAUGGUUGGAAAUCAUUCGUAGAGUGCAAAGGCAUAAGGGAGCUUGACUGCGAGACCUACAAGUCGAGCAGGGACGAAAGUCGGGCUUAGUGAUCCGGUGGUUCCGCAUGGAAGGGCCAUCGCUCAACGGAUAAAAGCUACCCCGGGGAUAACAGGCUUAUCUCCCCCAAGAGUCCACAUCGACGGGGAGGUUUGGCACCUCGAUGUCGGCUCAUCGCAUCCUGGGGCUGUAGUCGGUCCCAAGGGUUGGGCUGUUCGCCCAUUAAAGCGGUACGCGAGCUGGGUUCAGAACGUCGUGAGACAGUUCGGUCCCUAUCCGUCGUGGGCGCAGGAAAUUUGAGAGGAGCUGUCCUUAGUACGAGAGGACCGGGAUGGACGCACCGCUGGUGUACCAGUUGUUCUGCCAAGGGCAUAGCUGGGUAGCUAUGUGCGGAAGGGAUAAGUGCUGAAAGCAUCUAAGCAUGAAGCCCCCCUCAAGAUGAGAUUUCCCAUAGCGUAAGCUAGUAAGAUCCCUGAAAGAUGAUCAGGUUGAUAGGUUCGAGGUGGAAGCAUGGUGACAUGUGGAGCUGACGAAUACUAAUAGAUCGAGGACUUAACCAUAUAA
rnacentral:rRNA from 1 species